GCGGCACGCUUCAUACAUGCAAGUCGAGGGGCAGCAUAAAGUACUUGUACUUUGAUGGCGACCGGCGAACGGGUGCGUAACGCGUAUGCAACUUACCUUUUACUAGAGAAUAGCCAAGAGAAAUUUUGAUUAAUGCUCUAUACUCUUUUUAACUCACAUGAGUUUUUAAGAAAAGCUCCGGCGGUAAAAGAUGGGCAUGCGUCCUAUUAGCUUGUAGGUGAGGUAACGGCUCACCUAAGCUCCGAUAGGUAGGGGUCCUGAGAGGGAGAUCCCCCACACUGGUACUGAGACACGGACCAGACUUCUACGGAAGGCAGCAGUAAGGAAUAUUGGACAAUGGAGGAAACUCUGAUCCAGCGAUGCCGCGUGAAGGAAGACGGCCCUAUGGGUUGUAAACUUCUUUUAUACAGGAAGAAACCUUUCCACGUGUGGAAAGCUGACGGUACUGUAAGAAUAAGGAUCGGCUAACUCCGUGCCAGCAGCCGCGGUAAUACGGAGGAUCCAAGCGUUAUCCGGAAUUAUUGGGUUUAAAGGGUCCGCAGGCUGUUUGUUAAGUCAGGGGUGAAAUCCUACCGCUCAACGGUAGAACUGCCUUUGAUACUGGCAAACUUGAGUUAUUGUGAAGUAGUUAGAAUGUGUAGUGUAGCGGUGAAAUGCAUAGAUAUUACACAGAAUACCAAUUGCGAAGGCAGAUUACUAACAAUUAACUGACGCUGAGGGACGAAAGCGUGGGUAGCGAACAGGAUUAGAUACCCUGGUAGUCCACGCCGUAAACGAUGGUCACUAGCUGUUCGAUGUACAUUGGUACAUUGAGUGGCUAAGCGAAAGUGAUAAGUGACCCACCUGGGGAGUACGC
rnacentral:rRNA from 1 species